rnacentral:rRNA from 1 species
UAGAGUUUGAUCCUGGCUCAGAUUGAACGCUGGCGGCAGGCCUAACACAUGCAAGUCGAACGGUAACAGGAAGCAGCUUGCUUCUUCGCUGACGAGUGGCGGACGGGUGAGUAAUGUCUGGGAAACUGCCUGAUGGAGGGGGAUAACUACUGGAAACGGUAGCUAAUACCGCAUAACGUCGCAAGACCAAAGAGGGGGACCUUCGGGCCUCUUGCCAUCGGAUGUGCCCAGAUGGGAUUAGCUAGUAGGUGGGGUAACGGCUCACCUAGGCGACGAUCCCUAGCUGGUCUGAGAGGAUGACCAGCCACACUGGAACUGAGACACGGUCCAGACUCCUACGGGAGGCAGCAGUGGGGAAUAUUGCACAAUGGGCGCAAGCCUGAUGCAGCCAUGCCGCGUGUAUGAAGAAGGCCUUCGGGUUGUAAAGUACUUUCAGCGGGGAGGAAGGGAGUAAAGUUAAUACCUUUGCUCAUUGACGUUACCCGCAGAAGA